rnacentral:rRNA from 1 species
UGCGUAGGCGGUUCGUUAAGUAGGGUGUGAAGGCCCCUGGCUCAACCAGGGAAUGGCACUCUAAACUGGCGGGCUAGAGUGAGAUAGGGGUGUCCGGAACUGCCGGUGGAGCGGUGAAAUGUGUUGAUAUCGGCAGGAACGCCGGUGGCGAAAGCGGGACACUGGGUCUCAACUGACGCUGAGGCACGAAAGCCAGGGGAGCGAACG